rnacentral:lncRNA from 1 species
CCAAUCAGUUCUCUAUACCAUGUAUACGUACACUGAAAAAUGUCUAUCUUAAAACAUCAUGAACAUACAUAUUGUUAUCAUCUGUUUCAAAGAUUUGGAGGACAAGAUUUUUUUAUUUUCCUACUCCUUAUUCUAUAAAAUUCCAUCUGUGGAUACAAAAAUUAUCUUUAUCAAUUGUCAACUCAAAGAAGCACUCUUUAUGAAAUGUUGUUAGGAUAUGAAUAAAUAUACAAAUAUAAAAACAAUGAAAGAUCAAAAUAAGCAUGAUAAGUAAAAGGCAUAACAAACACAUUCUC